rnacentral:misc_RNA from 1 species
UACGAGUGCCCCAAGCGUUAUCCGGAAUCAUUGGGCGUAAAGGGUGUGUAGGCGGUUGUAUUAGUCUCCUGUAAAAUCCUCGGGCUUAACUCGAGAUCUGCAGGGGAAACGGUACAACUAGAGGAUGAGAGGGGUGAAUGGAACUCAUGGAGUAGGGGUGAUAUCCGUUGAUAUCAUGGGGAACACCAAAAGCGAAGGCAAUUCACUGGCUCAUUCCUGACGCUGAGACACGAAAGCGUGGGUAGCGAACGGG